rnacentral:rRNA from 1 species
CAUUACCGAGAUUAGGGUUCUUUUGGAACCUGACCCUCCUACCCUUUGUAUAUGUAUACCUCUGUUGCUUCGGCGGCUCCCCCGUGGCUCACAGGCGUUGUUACAUACGUCGAGGCCCGGCCCCGCCAGAAGCCUCUUUCAAUCUGCCUUUUUAAUCAGUGAUGGUCUGAGUACAAAUUGUAAAAUUUAUCAAAACUUUCAACAACGGAUCUCUUGGUUCUGGCAUCGAUGAAGAACGCAGCGAAAUGCGAUAAGUAAUGUGAAUUGCAGAAUUCAGUGAAUCAUCGAAUCUUUGAACGCACAUUGCGCCCUCUGGUAUUCCGGGGGGCAUGCCUGUUCGAGCGUCAUUACACCUCUCAAGCUCAGCUUGGUAUUGGGUCUUCGCCCCUCGUGGACGGGCCCAAAAAUCAGUGGCGGUGCAACCGGUCCUCAAGCGUAAUAGCAUGAAUAUCCCGCUUUGGAGUGACCGGGUGGACCUGCCAGACAA